UACCUCUCUGUUCCUGGACAGUAUACUGUGCAUAGAUUUUCAAUGGAGGGUCAGAAAGCUCUCAGACUAAAUCUAAAAUAUCUUAAACUGUGUUUCGAAGAUGAACGGAGGUCUUACCCUCAUGUCGUUCCAAACUCGUGAGUCAUUAAUUACAUUAUUUUCAUUUUUGGGUGAACUCUCCCUUUAAUUACAUGCUCAUACUUUAAUUAUGCCUGAUAAGAAUUUGUAAUAUUUGUGUUUAAACAUUUUUCGAAUUUUAAUCCUUGUUUUUAAAUGGCCAUGACAGUGACAAAAAGGAAGCAGCCUUCUCUAGCCCACCCAAGUUUCCAUCAAAGGAGCAAGCCUAUGUCAGUAAGAAGAAAGCUGGCUAACCCUCCCACCCCUUGUUUAACUCCUCCAGCCCAUCCCACAUCAUUGUAGAGUGAAGGUAAACCAAGGUUUUCUGUCUUUCCAAGAGACUGCGGUUAAUAUCAGAGAACUGAAGGCUUUCCUGACUUGACACCGAAUAAUAACGAAGGCCUGUGUGCUUUGCAGCAGCCUCCACGUCACCCUCUUCCAGUGCUCCGUCAGAGGACUAACGAUAUGCCACAAGAUGAUUGGCAGCAAGACACACCCAGUGAUGAAGGGAUGUGCUCUCCUUAAAUCACAGCCUAUUCAUCAGGUACUCCUGAGUGCUGUGUUAAGAAAUCCUGCCUACAAAGUUCCACUGAGGCUGAUAUAAAGAUGACUGUGAGAAACUGGCUGCGGCUGUCUGAGCAGAGACAGGAAUGGGGGCGGCAAAGGCGGGACAAGCAAGCAUCUUAAGUGAAAUAAUUGAUUGGACUGAUUCUGGAGUAUGACUUAUUCUGGAGGGAAUUUCUUAUUUUUGUUGCAGUUUGCUAUGGGACGGUUUCAAGGACAGGGAUUAGACUAGUUCUAGACUAAAAUAAAUGUAAGAGCUGUCCAAACUGAAAACAACUUGCACUGACAUAUCAUAAAAUACAUCAGUGUCUUUUGUGAUGCUUCAAAAUGCACACAAGUAAUGUUUUUAUUAAGACAUGUUAUUAAAACUAGUUAUAUUUCAGAAUUAAACUAAGGCCUAGUCCCGGUUUAAGAUAAUCCCUGUCCGGGAAACCACCCCAAAGUGUAAUUUGUGGAGUGUUAAAAUAAAUGAAACUGCCUUUGCAAAAACAAAGUAAAAAAAAAAUUCCAGAUG